rnacentral:rRNA from 1 species
ACGCGAUGAACCUUACCAGGUCUUGACAUCCUCUGACACUCCUAGAGAUAGGACGUCCCCCUUCGGGGGACAGAGUGACAGGUGGUGCAUGGUUGUCGUCAGCUCGUGUCGUGAGAUGUUGGGUUAAGUCCCGCAACGAGCGCAACCCUUGAUCUUAGUUGCCAGCAUUUAGUUGGGCACUCUAAGGUGACUGCCGGUGACAAACCGGAGGAAGGUGGGGAUGACGUCAAAUCAUCAUGCCCCUUAUGACCUGGGCUACACACGUGCUACAAUGGAUGGUACAAAGGGCAGCAAAGCGGUGACGCCUAGCAAAUCCCAUAAAACCAUUCUCAGUUCGGAUUGUAGGCUGCAACUCGCCUACAUGAAGCUGGAAUCGCUAGUAAUCGCGGAUCAGCAUGCCGCGGUGAAUACGUUCCCGGGCCUUGCACUCACCGCCCGU